rnacentral:rRNA from 1 species
AAAAACAUGGCUCUUUGAAAUUGAUAUAUAAAGAGUCUGGCCUGCCCAGUGAUGUAUUUUUAACGGCCGCGGUACUCUGACCGUGCGAAGGUAGCAUAAUCAUUUGCCCUAUAAUUGAGGGCUAGUAUGAAUGGUUUGACAUGAGCAUAACUGUCUCCUUAAAAUUUUAUAAAAUUUGGUUUUUAGGUGAAGAAACCUAAAUUAAAUUGAAAGACAAGAAGACCCUAUCGAGCUUUAGAAUAAUUAAUUAAAAAAUAUAAAUGAAACAAUUAAUUUUAAUUAAAAACUUUGGUUGGGGCGACUAAGGAACAUAUAAAGCUUCCUUAAUUAAAUAAUGCUGAUAAGCAAUGAUCCAGGAAAUCUGAUUAAGAAAAUUAGUUACCGUAGGGAUAACAGCAUAAUCUUUUUUGAGAGCUCUUAUCGAAAAAAAGGUUUGUGACCUCGAUGUUGGACUAGGAUAUCCUAAAGAUGUAGAAGUCUUUAAUGGUUGCUCUGUUCGAGCAUAAAAAUCCUACGUGAU